UGGGACUACAGGGGUUUCUAAUCCUGUUUGCUCCCCACGCUUUCGAGCCUCAGCGUCAGUUACAAGCCAGAGAGCCGCUUUCGCCACCGGUGUUCCUCCAUAUAUCUACGCAUUUCACCGCUACACAUGGAAUUCCACUCUCCCCUCUUGCACUCAAGUUAAACAGUUUCCAAAGCCUACUAUGGUUAAGCCACAGCCUUUAACUUCAGACUUAUCUAACCGCCUGCGCUCGCUUUACGCCCAAUAAAUCCGGACAACGCUCGGGACCUACGUAUUACCGCGGCGGCUGGCAC
rnacentral:misc_RNA from 1 species